rnacentral:rRNA from 2 species
GACGCUGGCGGCGUGCCUAAUACAUGCAAGUCGAACGAGUUCUCGUUGAUGAUCGGUGCUUGCACCGAGAUUCAACAUGGAACGAGUGGCGGACGGGUGAGUAACACGUGGGUAACCUGCCCUUAAGUGGGGGAUAACAUUUGGAAACAGAUGCUAAUACCGCAUAGAUCCAAGAACCGCAUGGUUCUUGGCUGAAAGAUGGCGUAAGCUAUCGCUUUUGGAUGGACCCGCGGCGUAUUAGCUAGUUGGUGAGGUAAUGGCUCACCAAGGCGAUGAUACGUAGCCGAACUGAGAGGUUGAUCGGCCACAUUGGGACUGAGACACGGCCCAAACUCCUACGGGAGGCAGCAGUAGGGAAUCUUCCACAAUGGACGCAAGUCUGAUGGAGCAACGCCGCGUGAGUGAAGAAGGCUUUCGGGUCGUAAAACUCUGUUGUUGGAGAAGAAUGGUCGGCAGAGUAACUGUUGUCGGCGUGACGGUAUCCAACCAGAAAGCCACGGCUAACUACGUGCCAGCAGCCGCGGUAAUACGUAGGUGGCAAGCGUUAUCCGGAUUUAUUGGGCGUAAAGCGAGCGCAGGCGGUUUUUUAAGUCUGAUGUGAAAGCCCUCGGCUUAACCGAGGAAGCGCAUCGGAAACUGGGAAACUUGAGUGCAGAAGAGGACAGUGGAACUCCAUGUGUAGCGGUGAAAUGCGUAGAUAUAUGGAAGAACACCAGUGGCGAAGGCGGCUGUCUGGUCUGUAACUGACGCUGAGGCUCGAAAGCAUGGGUAGCGAACAGGAUUAGAUACCCUGGUAGUCCAUGCCGUAAACGAUGAAUGCUAGGUGUUGGAGGGUUUCCGCCCUUCAGUGCCGCAGCUAACGCAUUAAGCAUUCCGCCUGGGGAGUACGACCGCAAGGUUGAAACUCAAAGGAAUUGACGGGGGCCCGCACAAGCGGUGGAGCAUGUGGUUUAAUUCGAAGCAACGCGAAGAACCUUACCAGGUCUUGACAUCUUUUGAUCACCUGAGAGAUCAGGUUUCCCCUUCGGGGGCAAAAUGACAGGUGGUGCAUGGUUGUCGUCAGCUCGUGUCGUGAGAUGUUGGGUUAAGUCCCGCAACGAGCGCAACCCUUAUGACUAGUUGCCAGCAUUUAGUUGGGCACUCUAGUAAGACUGCCGGUGACAAACCGGAGGAAGGUGGGGAUGACGUCAAAUCAUCAUGCCCCUUAUGACCUGGGCUACACACGUGCUACAAUGGAUGGUACAACGAGUUGCGAGACCGCGAGGUCAAGCUAAUCUCUUAAAGCCAUUCUCAGUUCGGACUGUAGGCUGCAACUCGCCUACACGAAGUCGGAAUCGCUAGUAAUCGCGGAUCAGCACGCCGCGGUGAAUACGUUCCCGGGCCUUGUACACACCGCCCGUCACACCAUGAGAGUUUGUAACACCCGAAGCCGGUGGCGUAACCCUUUUAGGGAGCGAGCCGUCUAAGGUGGGACAAAUGAUUAGGGUGAA